AUUGAACGCUGGCGGAAUGCUUUACACAUGCAAGUCGAACGGCAGCACGGGUGCUUGCACCUGGUGGCGAGUGGCGAACGGGUGAGUAAUGCACCGGAACGUAUCCAAUAAUGGGGGAUAACGCACCGAAAGGUGUGCUAAUACCGCAUACGCCCUGAGGGGGAAAGCGGGGGAGUCGUAAGACCUCGCGUUAAUGGAGCGGCCGAUGCCGGAUUAGCUAGUUGGUGAGGUAAAGGCUCACCAAGGCGACGAUCCGUAGCUGGUCUGAGAGGACGACCAGCCACACUGGAACUGAGACACGGUCCAGACUCCUACGGGAGGCAGCAGUGGGGAAUUUUGGACAAUGGGCGCAAGCCUGAUCCAGCCAUUCCGCGUGAGUGAAGAAGGCCU
rnacentral:rRNA from 1 species